CCGUUGGCAUGGAUCCACAGUGCGGUAGGAAGGGUCAGACAUAAACACAAAGAAAUCUGCUCAUGUAAAUAAACAAUAAAUAAGAGAAUGAAUUGAACUUUUUUGUGAUUUUUAAUAGAUUCUUCACUCAAAUUCGAUGAACAGGAGAAAAAUUGAACGCAAAACGAAUGGAUUUAGCUUAAAAGAGUGUUACAAGUGUCCUAGUCUUAUUCCAGAUUAUCUAAGGAACUACAAAAACUCAUUUUUGCCUUUUCUUUCUUCAAAUUAUCUCUUCUUGAAGUGUUGAAGGCAUUUAAAAUGCACCACAAUUCGAGUCAACAAUGUUUGGAAAUUUGCAUUAAUGGCUAAAAAUCGCGGCUGAUCGUUAUUUCGGGUUAUUGAACGAUUAAUCGUGUUUAUUGCAUUUUGCGAGCAUGUUUAAGCAUAGUGCACGAUUUAUCACUCUCAUUACUGUCCAUCUUGGGUAUUUGUUUUGUUUACAUCUAGGAAGACUCCAGGUAGCAGCGGGGCCAAAUUUGUUACCUUGAUGUAACGAUGAGCAAUCCCCCGAAAAGAUCUGCCGGAAAAACCUUAAGAUGCGCUUUCGGGUGCGAAGAAGUUUCUAGAGAUCGCAGCAAAUGGCAUCAAAUUUGCUAAAGAUCUGUAAUCUUCUAUAAAGCAUUCUAGUGAAAUGUGCUAACAAAAAUAAUGCGCUCAACUCUAUUACAGUAAAUCACUCAAGUGCUUUCUCCAUCACAUGCUCCUAUGUUCAACCGCUGAGAUCGCAGCGGAUACUAGUACGUGGUCAAGCGGCUCUUCACAAAAUUUUAAACUCUAUUAAUGAAUUGUAAUAGAAUUUGUAUUCCACAGGUCUCCCAUGACAAGUCCCAACUUUGUGGUAAAUUAUUUUACAAGCAUAGUUGUAAAUACUAAUCUAUCACGUUUCCCUAUUACUCACAUAAUGAAUGAACAGCUCGCAGAGAAGCAUUCAGCGUGGCUUACAGCGUCCUUAAAAUGAUUAGGAGGCUUUGUCGAGAGCAUUAAACACAGAUAUCAAAAUUUAAACCUGGCUGCGCUAUUU